AUUGAACGCUGGCGGAAUGCUUUACACAUGCAAGUCGAGCGGCAGCGCGGGGGCAACCCUGGCGGCGAGCGGCGAACGGGUGAGUAAUAUAUCGGAACGUACCCCGUCGUGGGGGAUAACACAGCGAAAGCUGUGCUAAUACCGCAUACGACCUGAGGGUGAAAGCGGGGGAUCGCAAGACCUCGCGCGAUGGGAGCGGCCGAUAUCGGAUUAGCUUGUUGGUGAGGUAAAGGCUCACCAAGGCGACGAUCCGUAGCUGGUCUGAGAGGACGACCAGCCACACUGGAACUGAGACACGGUCCAGACUCCUACGGGAGGCAGCAGUGGGGAAUUUUGGACAAUGGGCGCAAGCCCGAUCCAGCCAUUCCGCGUGCAGGAUGAAGGCCUUCGGGUUGUAAACUGCUUUGUACGGAACGAAACGGUACUGCCCUAAUACGGCGGGGUAGUUUGACGGUACCGGCAGAAUAAGCACCGGCUAACUACGUGCCAGCAGCCGCGGUAAU
rnacentral:rRNA from 1 species